UGUGAAUCUAGUGGAACCACUUCUGCACAAACUUGACUACUGAAAUCAGUGUGCGGAAAUGCUUCUGCUACAUUUUUA
rfam:Amazona aestiva scaffold_367, whole genome shotgun sequence.